GGGUUGUGAGGUUAAGCGACUAAGCGUACACGGUGGAUGCCCUGGCAGUCAGAGGCGAUGAAGGGCGUGCUAAUCUGCGAUAAGCGCCGGUAAGGUGAUAUGAACCGUUAUAACCGGCGAUACCCGAAUGGGGAAACCCAGUGUGACUCGUCACACUAUCAUUAACUGAAUCCAUAGGUUAAUGAGGCGAACCGGGGGAACUGAAACAUCUAAGUACCCCGAGGAAAAGAAAUCAACCGAGAUUCCCCCAGUAGCGGCGAGCGAACGGGGAGGAGCCCAGAGCCUGAAUCAGCAUGUGUGUUAGUGGAAGCGUCUGGAAAGGCGCGCGAUACAGGGUGACAGCCCCGUACACAAAAGCGCAUGUGUUGUGAGCUCGAUGAGUAGGGCGGGACACGUGGUAUCCUGUCUGAAUAUGGGGGGACCAUCCUCCAAGGCUAAAUACUCCUGACUGACCGAUAGUGAACCAGUACCGUGAGGGAAAGGCGAAAAGAACCCCGGCGAGGGGAGUGAAAAAGAACCUGAAACCGUGUACGUACAAGCAGUGGGAGCACAGGUUUACCUGUGUGACUGCGUACCUUUUGUAUAAUGGGUCAGCGACUUAUAUUCUGUAGCAAGGUUAACCGAAUAGGGGAGCCGGAGGGAAACCGAGUCUUAAUUGGGCGUUAAGUUGCAGGGUAUAGACCCGAAACCCGGUGAUCUAGCCAUGGGCAGGUUGAAGGUUGGGUAACACUAACUGGAGGACCGAACCGACUAAUGUUGAAAAAUUAGCGGAUGACCUGUGGCUGGGGGUGAAAGGCCAAUCAAACCGGGAGAUAGCUGGUUCUCCCCGAAAGCUAUUUAGGUAGCGCCUCGUGAACUCAUCUCCGGGGGUAGAGCACUGUUUCGGCUAGGGGGCCAUCCCGGCUUACCAACCCGAUGCAAACUGCGAAUACCGGAGAAUGUUAUCACGGGAGACACACGGCGGGUGCUAACGUCCGUCGUGAAGAGGGAAACAACCCAGACCGCCAGCUAAGGUCCCAAAGUCAUGGUUAAGUGGGAAACGAUGUGGGAAGGCCCAGACAGCCAGGAUGUUGGCUUAGAAGCAGCCAUCAUUUAAAGAAAGCGUAAUAGCUCACUGGUCGAGUCGGCCUGCGCGGAAGAUGUAACGGGGCUAAACCAUGCACCGAAGCUGCGGCAGCGACGCUGAUGCGUUGUUGGGUAGGGGAGCGUUCUGUAAGCCUGCGAAGGUGGCCUGUGAGGGUUGCUGGAGGUAUCAGAAGUGCGAAUGCUGACAUAAGUAACGAUAAAGCGGGUGAAAAGCCCGCUCGCCGGAAGACCAAGGGUUCCUGUCCAACGUUAAUCGGGGCAGGGUGAGUCGACCCCUAAGGCGAGGCCGAAAGGCGUAGUCGAUGGGAAACGGGUUAAUAUUCCCGUACUUGGUGUUACUGCGAAGGGGGGACGGAGAAGGCUAUGUUGGCCGGGCGACGGUUGUCCCGGUUUAAGCGUGUAGGUGUGUGUUCCAGGUAAAUCCGGUUCACUUUAACACUGAGGCGUGAUGACGAGGCACUACGGUGCUGAAGCAACAAAUGCCCUGCUUCCAGGAAAAGCCUCUAAGCAUCAGGUAACACGAAAUCGUACCCCAAACCGACACAGGUGGUCAGGUAGAGAAUACCAAGGCGCUUGAGAGAACUCGGGUGAAGGAACUAGGCAAAAUGGUGCCGUAACUUCGGGAGAAGGCACGCUGACAUGUAGGUGAAGUGAUUUACUCACGGAGCUGAAGUCAGUCGAAGAUACCAGCUGGCUGCAACUGUUUAUUAAAAACACAGCACUGUGCAAACACGAAAGUGGACGUAUACGGUGUGACGCCUGCCCGGUGCCGGAAGGUUAAUUGAUGGGGUCAGCGCAAGCGAAGCUCCUGAUCGAAGCCCCGGUAAACGGCGGCCGUAACUAUAACGGUCCUAAGGUAGCGAAAUUCCUUGUCGGGUAAGUUCCGACCUGCACGAAUGGCGUAAUGAUGGCCAGGCUGUCUCCACCCGAGACUCAGUGAAAUUGAACUCGCUGUGAAGAUGCAGUGUACCCGCGGCAAGACGGAAAGACCCCGUGAACCUUUACUAUAGCUUGACACUGAACAUUGAGCCUUGAUGUGUAGGAUAGGUGGGAGGCUUUGAAGCGUGGACGCCAGUCUGC
rnacentral:rRNA from 1 species